UACGUAGGGCGCAAGCGUUGUCCGGAAUUAUUGGGCGUAAAGAGCUCGUAGGCGGUUUGUCGCGUCUGCUGUGAAAACCUAAGGCUCAACCUUGGGCUUGCAGUGGGUACGGGCAGACUAGAGUGUGGUAGGGGAGACUGGAAUUCCUGGUGUAGCGGUGAAAUGCGCAGAUAUCAGGAGGAACACCGGUGGCGAAGGCGGAUCUCUGGGCCUGUCCUGACGCUGGAGGCGCGAAAGCCUAGGGGAGCGAACAGG
rnacentral:rRNA from 1 species